CAGCAUGUAUUUUAAUAUAAAAUAUAAACUUUGGGAGUUUAAGAUAUGUUUAUUCAUUUUGCUGA
rnacentral:tRNA from 1 species